rnacentral:lncRNA from 1 species
GGCAAAUUUAAACAUUCUCUUAUUUGCUGGUCUUAUUUGACUAACAAACAUGAAGCUUGAUCAACAGUUCGCAGUAUGCAGUGGAGAAAAGCCUCAUCUUACCUCAUCUGCCACAAUCUCACUUCCAAGAAGUGAUGACCGCAGGAAGAGGCGCUGCCUUUUUACCUGCCUGUCGUCAUUGUGAGCACACAAUCAGUCCACAGGGUCCAGGUUACCGUCUCCAUCUGUUGACAUACGGAAACCAAGGCAACCAAGCCAGCCUCCUGGCUUUCCUUACCCCAAAAUUCCGAGCAGAGACUCCCCGGGACAGAAUCUGUUGUUGGUGCACAACCUCUCCCAGAAAGAACUUGGUGUCCUUAGGGACAAGUUCUUGGGCAGAUCAUUGCAGUAGUGAGAGCUGUAGAUGCUUGAAAAUGUAUUCUGUUCUCUGCUGUCAGUUGGACACUGUACCAUCAAAGCUUUUGUUAUGGUGGUGACAAUUUCUGAGCUGUCUGUGUUGAUACAAUCCUCAUGCUGUUCUUGGCUAGAGUGAAGUCGUGUAUACUGAGAAAUACGAGACGCUUUCUGCAGAAACAAAGGAUGUACAUGCAAUGAUGCACUCAGACAAACUCUCAGAAAGCUGAGAUGAAUCUAGGAAUAUCAAGAUUUGUAAGUAUGUUUCCUGUUUUGCUGCAGUGUUUAAGGACAAAAUGACAGUUUACAAGGCAAUGUUUCCCCAGAAAAAUAUUGCCUUUUCUGGGGGGAAAAAAAGUGCCUCACAGCUCUUGCUGCUCCCUGGUAAAUUGAACGCAGCCAGGUGCAGGCUGAAGCACUUGCAGUGGUCCUGAUGACUGCUGAAUCUGAUCUUUUGCUGGGAUUUAUGAAAAGUCUCUCCCAGCUGUAAUUUCUUGACUUGGAC